rnacentral:lncRNA from 1 species
UGGGCCAGGUGCGCCAGAGAGGAUAUGGGAAGGGGAGGGAGCUGCGCUGGGUGGAAGCUGGGCCGUGGCUGGCCUGCUUGGCUGGGCCGAGAGCGGGGCCGAAGUGAGAGGGGAGAGGAAAGGAGGGUUUUGGGCCUUCGGGCCAGAAAGAGGGUGAAGGGGUUUUGUCUUUUUAUUUUCUAUUUUCUUUUCUUCCAUUCCAAAGCCAUUUUCAAAUCCAUUCUAAAAUCACCUUGAAAUACUUUUGAACUUUAGUAAAACCACUCAGCACAAUAAAUAAAAUGCAGG